rnacentral:rRNA from 1 species
GAUGAACGCUGGCGGCGUGCCUAAUACAUGCAAGUCGAGCGAACAGACGAGGAGCUUGCUCCUCUGACGUUAGCGGCGGACGGGUGAGUAACACGUGGAUAACCUACCUAUAAGACUGGGAUAACUUCGUGAAACCGGAUCUAAUACCGGAGCAUAUAUUGAACCGCAUGGUUCAAUAGUGAAAGACGGUUUUGCUGUCACUUAUAGAUGGAUCCGCGCCGCAUUAGCUAGUUGGUAAGGUAACGGCUUACCAAGGCAACGAUGCGUAGCCGACCUGAGAGGGUGAUCGGCCACACUGGAACUGAGACACGGUCCAGACUCCUACGGGAGGCAGCAGUAGGGAAUCUUCCGCAAUGGGCGAAAGCCUGACGGAGCAACGCCGCGUGAGUGAUGAAGGUCUUCGGAUCGUAAAACUCUGUUAUUAGGGAAGAACAAAUGUGUAAGUAACUAUGCACGUCUUGACGGUACCUAAUCAGAAAGCCACGGCUAACUACGUG